rnacentral:rRNA from 1 species
GAUGAACGCUGGCGGCGGGCCUAAUACAUGCAAGUCGAGCGAACGGACGAGAAGAGUGCUUCUCUGAUGUUAGCGGCGGACGGGUGGGUAAGAAGUGGAUCACCUACCUAUAAGACUGGGAGAACUUCGGGAAACAGGAGCUAAUACCAGCUAAUAUUUUGAACCGCAUGGUUCAAGAGUGAAAGACGGUCUUGCUGUCACUUAUAGCUGGAUCCGCGCUGCAUUAGCUAGUUGGUAAGGUAACGGCCUACCAAGGCAACGAUGCAUAGCCGACCUGAGAGGAUGAUCAGCCACACUGGAACUGAGACACGGUCCAGACUCCUACGGGAGGCAGCAGUAGGGAAUCUUGCGCAAUGGGCGAAAGCCUGACCCAGCAACGCCGCGUGAGUGAUGAAGGUCUUCGGGUCGUAAAACCCUGUUAUUGGGAAAGAACAGCUGUGUAAGUAACUGCGGAUAUCCUGACGGUACCUAAUCAGAAAGCAACGGCUAACUACGUG